CGAAACCGCGAGGUUAAGCCAAUCCCACAAAUCUGUUCUCAGUUCGGAUCGCAGUCUGCAACUCGACUGCGUGAAGCUGGAAUCGCUAGAAAUCGCAAGAUCAGCAUGCCGCGGUGAAUACGUUCCCGGGCCUUGUACACACCGACCGUCACGCCACGAGAGUUUGUAACACCCUAAGUUGGUCAGGUACCCCUUUUCGAGCCCCCCGCCGAACCUGGGACUCAUCAUUGGGCGGAAAUGGCAUCGAUUUACUCACAGAAGGCAGGAAUAAUGACUGACGGAGGGACCGCCCUCUCUAUCUAUAACCGGCUUCCCGGGCUCUAUCCCCUCCCUCUGUCUUAUUCCAUGCUUCUAUGCCAAACGGUUAUCAUUCGGGACGCCCAGCACACGUUUAAAACAAUCAAUCCCUAUAAUAUAUCUCACUUUUUCAAGUAUUCUAUCCUCACUCUCUACCAUUCAUUUAUUCAACACUCAUUUCAAUCACUUUCAAAAUCUUUUUCUUCUCUCAAUACUUCUAUUCCACUUCUUUUUCAUUACCCUACCUUUAUACAUAAUUUUCCACAUCCGUUUACCUCUUUUCAUAAUUCCACUCCCGAUUACAUUUCAUCUUUCUUAUCAACCUAUACCUAUACAUACUAUCCAUUAUAUCAUAAUCCUUAUCCUAUCAAUUCUUACUCUAAAUACUAUUUUUCUAAUAUAGCACCUUUACCUAACUACACUCUAAUUAUCCAACCUACUCACUCUUUCUCUCUAUCUCACUA
rnacentral:rRNA from 1 species